rnacentral:lncRNA from 10 species
CGCCGCCGCUGCCGCCGCCGGGGGGAGACGCUGCGCCGCCGCUGCCGCUGGCCCCGGCCCCGCGGGGCUGAGAGCCGCCCCGGACCCAAGCCUCUUUCCCUGCUCCGCACCUCCUCUCCCCUCCCCCACUCCUGCCUCCGGGGACUGAAUGUGGGCCCAGUUGGCGUCAUUCUGCUUUGACCUAAACAUUCCCAUCUGAUUGGGUGGCAGAGAUCAUUUUUGGAAAGUUCUUCCGUGUCCCGAUGUAGAAGAAAUAGCAAAUUGGACAUAUUGAAAGACAAGGGUCAUCUUUGAGAAGGGGGUUCCUGGACUCCUCACCUCCAGGAUGAGCACUGCAGUGUCGUGACCCUUGGGGUUUUGUAUGCCCUGGAGAUGCGAGAUUUUCCUCUGGCAGCAGGAGGCACGCACCCAGAGAAUGCUGGAGCUGCAAGGGGAAAGGACCCACUUCCACAGCAGAGAAAAACAAAGAGGAAAAA